rnacentral:rRNA from 1 species
AUGAACGCUAGCUACAGGCUUAACACAUGCAAGUCGAGGGGCAGCAUGAACUUAGCUUGCUAAGUUUGAUGGCGACCGGCGCACGGGUGAGUAACACGUAUCCAACCUGCCGAUGACUCGGGGAUAGCCUUUCGAAAGAAAGAUUAAUACCCGAUGGCAUAGUUCUUCCGCAUGGUAGAACUAUUAAAGAAUUUCGGUCAUCGAUGGGGAUGCGUUCCAUUAGGUUGUUGGCGGGGUAACGGCCCACCAAGCCUUCGAUGGAUAGGGGUUCUGAGAGGAAGGUCCCCCACAUUGGAACUGAGACACGGUCCAAACUCCUACGGGAGGCAGCAGUGAGGAAUAUUGGUCAAUGGACGAGAGUCUGAACCAGCCAAGUAGCGUGAAGGAUGACUGCCCUAUGGGUUGUAAACUUCUUUUAUACGGGAAUAAAGUGAGGCACGUGUGCCUUUUUGUAUGUACCGUAUGAAUAAGGAUCGGCUAACUCCGUGCCAGCAGCCGCGGUAAUACGGAGGAUCCGAGCGUUAUCCGGAUUUAUUGGGUUUAAAGGGAGCGUAGGCGGACGCUUAAGUCAGUUGUGAAAGUUUGCGGCUCAACCGUAAAAUUGCAGUUGAUACUGGGUGUCUUGAGUACAGUAGAGGCAGGCGGAAUUCGUGGUGUAGCGGUGAAAUGCUUAGAUAUCACGAAGAACUCCGAUUGCGAAGGCAGCUUGCUGGACUGUAACUGACGCUGAUGCUCGAAAGUGUGGGUAUCAAACAGGAUUAGAUACCCUGGUAGUCCACACAGUAAACGAUGAAUACUCGCUGUUUGCGAUAUACAGUAAGCGGCCAAGCGAAAGCGUUAAGUAUUCCACCUGGGGAGUACGCCGGCAACGGUGAAACUCAAAGGAAUUGACGGGGGCCCGCACAAGCGGAGGAACAUGUGGUUUAAUUCGAUGAUACGCGAGGAACCUUACCCGGGCUUGAAUUGCAACUGAAUGAUGUGGAGACAUGUCAGCCGCAAGGCAGUUGUGAAGGUGCUGCAUGGUUGUCGUCAGCUCGUGCCGUGAGGUGUCGGCUUAAGUGCCAUAACGAGCGCAACCCUUAUCGAUAGUUACCAUCAGGUUAUGCUGGGGACUCUGUCGAGACUGCCGUCGUAAGAUGUGAGGAAGGUGGGGAUGACGUCAAAUCAGCACGGCCCUUACGUCCGGGGCUACACACGUGUUACAAUGGGGGGUACAGAAGGCAGCUACACGGCGACGUGAUGCUAAUCCCGAAAGCCUCUCUCAGUUCGGAUUGGAGUCUGCAACCCGACUCCAUGAAGCUGGAUUCGCUAGUAAUCGCGCAUCAGCCACGGCGCGGUGAAUACGUUCCCGGGCCUUGUACACACCGCCCGUCACACCAUGAGAGUUGGAAAUACCCGAAGCCUGUGAGCUAACAAACGAGGCAGCAGUCGAAGGUAGAGCCAAUGAUUGGGGUG